AAUGGCAGGUCAGCAUACUGCCGUGAAUACGUUCCCGGGCCUUGUACACACCGCCCGUCACACCAUGAGAGUUGGGAAUACCCGAAGCCUGUGAGCUAACAUAACGAGGCAGCAGUCGAAGGUAGAAUCAAUGAUUGGGGUGAAGUCGUAACAAGGUAGC
rnacentral:rRNA from 1 species